rnacentral:rRNA from 1 species
UACGGGGGGAGCAAGCGUUGUUCGGAUUUACUGGGCGUAAAGGGCGCGUAGGCGGUCAGCACAAGUCAUCUGUGAAAUCUCCGGGCUUAACUCAGAACGGUCAGAUGAUACUGCUUUGCUCGAGUGCGGAAGGGGCAAUCGGAAUUCUUGGUGUAGCGGUGAAAUGCGUAGAUAUCAAGAGGAACACCUGAGGUGAAGACGGGUUGCUGGGCCGACACUGACGCUGACAGCGCGAAAGCCAGGGGAGCAAACGGG